UUAAGAAUCUUGCACAAUGGGGGCAACCCUGAUGCAGCGACGCCGCGUGAAUGAUGAAGGCCUUCGGGUUGUAAAGUUCAGUAAGCAGGGAAGAAUAAGCAACGGGUAAUAUUCGUUGUGAUGACGGUACCUGCCUAAAGCCCCGGCUAACUACGUGCCAGCAGCCGCGGUAAUACGUAUGGGGCAAGCGUUGUUCGGAAUUAUUGGGCGUAACGGGCGUCUAGGCGGGGGAUUAAGUUAGCUGUGAAAUCUAUGGGCUCAACCCAUAAACUGCAUCUAAGACUGG
rnacentral:rRNA from 1 species